rnacentral:rRNA from 1 species
GAAGAAGCCUUUUUUGUGACGGUAUGUGCAGAAGAAGCGCCGGCUAACUACGUGCCAGCAGCCGCGGUAAUACGUAGGGCGCGAGCGUUGUCCGGAAUUAUUGGGCGUAAAGAGCUCGUAGGCGGUUUGUUGCGCCUGCUGUGAAAGACCGGGGCUUAACUUCGGGGUUGCAGUGGGUACGGGCAGACUAGAGUGUGGUAGGGGUAAUUGGAAUUCCUGGUGUAGCGGUGGAAUGCGCAAAUAUCAGGAGGAACACCGAUGGCAAAGGCAGGUUACUGGGCCAUUACUGACGCUGAGGAGCGAAAGCGUGGGUAGCGAACAGGAUUAGAUACCCGGGUAGUCCACGCUGUAAACGUUGGGCACUAGGUGUGGGGCCUUUUCCACGGUUUCUGCGCCGUACCUAACGCUUUAAUUGCCCCGCCUGGGGAGUACGGCCGCAAGGUUAAAACUCAAAGGAAUUGACGGGGGCCCGCACAAGCGGCGGAGCAUGCGGAUUAUUUCGAUGCACCGCGAAGAACCUUACCAAGGCUUGACAUACACUGCGAUGUGCCAGAGAUGGUGCAGCCUUCGGGGUGUUGUACAGGUGGUGCAUGGUUGUCGUCAGCUCGUGUCGUGAGAUGUUGGGUUAAGUCCCGCAACGAGCGCAACCCUUGUCCUGUGUUGCCAGCAUGUUGUGGUGGGGAACUCACGGGAAAACUGCCGGGGUUAACUCGGAGGAAGGUGGGGAUGACGUCAAAUCAUCAUGCCCCUUAUGUCUUGGGCUUCACGCAUGCUACAAUGGCCGGUACAGAGGGUUGCGAGCCUGUGAGGGUGAGCUAAUCCCUUAAAGCUGGUCUCAGUUCGGAUUGGGGUCUGCAACUCGACCCCAUGAAGUCGGAGUCGCUAGUAAUCGCAGAUCAGCAACGCUGCGGUGAAUACGUUCUCGGGCCUUGUACACACCGCCCGUCACGUCACGAAAGUUGGUAACACCCGAAGCCCGUGGCCUAACCUUUGUGGGGGAGCGGUUGUAGUU